CUGUAAUCUCUUUGGCAAAGAGCGAAAGGAGAGAAGAGAUGCCUGGGAACUACAUUUUCCAUUGUCCCUUGGUAAAAGUUUCAGGUUAGAUUGAGAAACGUUGGGCACAAUUUGGAAGACAGAAGAGAAGACAUGAUUUUUCCACUGCACUUGUGAGAAGACACAUAGGCACUAAGCAAGGCAAUGGGGUACCAUUAGCUCACAGUAGACAAAGGAAGUAGAAGUUUCUAACAUUAGUGCCUUUUCUUUGGAAUGUAAACUAACCAUCUCCUCUGAGAAGUGCUCUUUGACAGAAAUCCCAGAUCAUGAACAUACAUGAAAAUAUUCAUGGAGAAUUGUCUCCUACCAAAUUUUAUGGAAAACUCAUAUUUCAAAAAAAGACACGUCUAAGAAUGAGGCCAAGCUACAUUUGACAGCAUUUCUCCCCUAUCAUUUUAAACUGAAAAUCCCAAGACUGAUAAAAUUUCAAAACUAAGCUGAAAUAAGAAGAAGGAAAAUAGUGUUUCCGGUGUUUAUCAUUCCACUGGCCCAACAACAACAGCCAAUCAUAUUCAACUGAAAUAAUUUCAAAUUACUUAUUUAAUACUAGAUGUAUGCCAACUAGGAUAUUAGAUAUAAAAAUACCAAGUAAUAUAAUUUAUGUCUUUAAGUUCAAUAGCUACCAGGGAACAUAGACAUGUUAACAAUUAAUUAUAAAACAAUCCUAGAGUGUCUUUUUUAAUUGUGUUUACAAAGUUUUAUCAAAGCCUAGGGGAAUCAGUCACUUGGUUUUACACAAGUUAUUUGGUCAAGUGAACUUUUUUUUUUUUUUUUCACAGAUUGAAGCAUCUGACUAUUUCUAACACUGUGAUCCACAGUAUUAAGACAAUUAAAAUGCCAUAUUUAGGGAAUAUAUAAAUGUAUUAUUUUUCUUUAUGCAAAUUUCAAGUUGUUUAUUAUAUUCAGAAUGAGAAACAUUACAAAUAUAGAAAAUGCUGCAAAGUCAGCUUGGUUUUUGUACUUUCAUAUGAACUAGUCUCUGAGUACCCAGAUUAAUUAGCUAAUCACUGCAUUGUCAAGUCUCUAUAAUGCUCUCUGCUGUAUCCUAUCACUGACUUUUUCUGGGUUAAGAUUUAUUUUGGGAAUUGAGAGCCAAGGCUGGAACACACUGAACAGAGUGUUCUAUUUCUGUGUGAAAUGAUAGAUGUUGCUCUUGCCCAGAAUGAAAAUGCUUUGCACUGCUCCCAAUCUGUAAAUUGUUCCAUUUGCUUGGCAUAAUAAGUAUACUGAUGUAUUUAAUUCUGUCUACCAGGCCCAUGCUGUUCAAUUCCCCUCUGCUAGCCAAAUAUACCAGAAGUCAUAAAUUUCUCUCCAAUAAGGAAACUAAAUGUGAUCUCUUCUAUAAGUAAAAGCAGUGUUAGUGUCCUGUUAUUAUUUUUUGGAGUUACCGUAUGUUUUAAAUCCAAGAUUAGCAAAAGAUUUGUUAUAAUCUUUUCACUUUUAUCAACUACUUAGUCCAGCAAACAUACCGACAAAAUAAUUGUAUAUGCUCAAAGGUACAGUCUGUGGAAAUGAUUCGAUGUUUGUAUAACUACCACUUUCUUUCAAAAUGAACCUUCAUUUUGUUCUCUCCUUUUCACAUACAUCAAAUGAAAAAAAGACUGUUUUGACUUCAUAUAUUAAAAGAUGAAAUGACU
rnacentral:lncRNA from 1 species